AGUGAACGCUGGCGGCAGGCCUAACACAUGCAAGUCGAGCGGCAGCGCGUCCGACCACCCUCGGGUGGUCGGAUGGCGGCGAGCGGCGGACGGGUGAGGAAUGCAUCGGAAUCUGCCUCGUUGUGGGGGAUAACGUAGGGAAACUUACGCUAAUACCGCAUACGACCUACGGGUGAAAGUGGGGGACCUUCGGGCCUCACGCGAUGAGAUGAGCCGAUGCCGGAUUAGCUAGUUGGCGGGGUAAAGGCCCACCAAGGCGACGAUCCGUAGCUGGUCUGAGAGGAUGAUCAGCCACACUGGAACUGAGACACGGUCCAGACUCCUACGGGAGGCAGCAGUGGGGAAUUUUGGACAAUGGGCGCAAGCCUGAUCCAGCCAUGCCGCGUGAGUGAAGAAGGCCUCGGUUGUAAGACGUCUUUCGGUCCGGGUAACGGAAAGUACG
rnacentral:rRNA from 1 species